AGCAGUCAGAAGGGUCUUAACUGACUCGACUGAACAGCGAAUGAUGAGAUCGGAUAUGAUUCUUGUUGAUUAAAAUCCGCUCCCUAGCUUAUCAACUAUCGCAGAUUUGCUAGGCGAAUGUCUGACGCUGU
rnacentral:snoRNA from 1 species